GGAAAACUCGGCUCUCCCGCUGUCCCGGGUAGGAAGCCGGGAUUUCGCUUUUGCCCGACUCCCUCGGGGCACUCGCCCUCUCCUCUCUUCCUCGCUUUCUCGCUUUCUCUCUUUCUCUCUUUCUCUUUCUUUCCUUUCUCUCUCUUCUUUUUGUUUCUUUUCUUCUUUCUUUCCUCUUUUUCUUUUCCUUUUCUUUUCCUGUCUUUCCUCUUCUCCCUCUUGCGCCCCCCCCCCCACCCCCAACUUUUUCUCUUUCUGUUUCUCUGGCUGUCACUGUCUCUCUGUCUUCUCCCUGUCUUCUCUCUCUUCGUUUUUUUCUUUAACCUUCUUUAUUAAAAAGAAAAGAAGAGGCCACAUCAGAAGAUUUCCAUUUCUAAGGCACCUUGUACUUUUAUAUCUUUUCCCUCCUUUGAAACACCAAACAGGACCCAACUCCUAAACAAGUCCAAAGGGACAAGUAAAACUGGGGUGUCAGUCGCUUGAGUUUGUUAUAACUUUCUCUUCUUCUCAGUGCCCUUCCUCACCCCCCUUUUCGGAUUAGAAGUUCAUAUUGCAAUAAUUCGCCAACAUGUUGGAAGGGCUGGAAAUAAACAAAAAGCAUUUACCAAGGACAACAGCCCACCCACCCUGAGAUGGGGAAAAUGCUUGCAAAAAUCUGGCCGUUUCAGAAGAGAAUAUAGAUUUCCUGGUAAAAUAUAUCCCAGCCACCCAGCUAGUAACACUAGUGGCUGUUGCCCCAUUUUCUGUUCAUAGUA
rnacentral:lncRNA from 10 species